rnacentral:rRNA from 1 species
UACGGGGGGGGGUAAGCGUUGUUCGGAAUUACUGGGCGUAAAGGGCGCGUAGGCGGCCUGCUAAGUCGAACGUGAAAUCCCUGGGCUCAACCCAGGAACUGCGUCCGAUACUGGUUGGCUUGAAUCCGGGAGAGGGACGUGGAAUUCCAGGUGUAGCGGUGAAAUGCGUAGAUAUCUGGAGGAACACCGGUGGCGAAGGCGACGUCCUGGACCGGCAUUGACGCUGAGGCGCGAAAGCCAGGGGAGCAAACGGG